CACGUAGGGCGCAAGCGUUGUCCGGAAUUAUUGGGCGUAAAGAGCUCGUAGGCGGUCUGUUGCGUCUGCUGUGAAAACCCGGGGCUUAACCCCUGGCUUGCAGUGGAUACGGACAGACUAGAGUCCGGAAGAGGAGAGUGGAAUUCCUGGUGUAGCGGUGAAAUGCGCAGAUAUCAGGAAGAACACCCGUGGCUAAGGCGGCUCUCUAGUACGGUACUGACGCUGAGACGCGAAAGCGUGGGGAGCGAACAGG
rnacentral:rRNA from 1 species